rnacentral:rRNA from 1 species
GGGAUAGAAUUCCAGGAGUAGCGGUGAAAUGCGUAGAUAUCUGGAGGAAUACCAAAGGCGAAGGCGGUCCCCUGGUCCGAUACUGACACUGAAGUACGAAAGCGUGGGGAGCAAACAGGAUUAGAUACCCUGGUAGUCCACGCCCUAAACGAUGUCGAUUAGCCAUUGGAAGGACCCCUUUUCCUUUCAGUGACGUAGCUAACGCGUUAAAUCGACCGCCUGGGAAGUACGACCGCAAGGUUAAAACUCAAAGGAAUUGACGGGGACCUGAACAAGCGGUGAAUGAUGUGGAUUAAUUCGAUGCUACGCGAAGAACCUUACCUACCUUUGACAUGGCCAAAGUUCUACCGAGAGGCGGAAGUACUCGUAAGAGGAUUGGCGCACAGGUGCUGCAUGGUUGUCGUCAGUUCGUGUCGUGAGAUGUUGGGUUCAGUCCCGCAACGAACGCAACCCUUAUCUUUAAUUGCUCCUAUUUUAACAGGCACUUUAAAGAAACUGCCAAUGAUAAGUUGGAGGAAGGUGGGGAUCACGUCAAGUCCGCAUGGCCUUUAUAGGUAGGGCUUCACACGUCAUACAAUGGUUAGAACAAAGAGCUGCAAAUUCGUAAGAAGGAGCCAAUCUCACAAACCUAACCUCAGUUCGAAUUGCGGUCUGCAACUCGAGCGCAUGAAGCCGGAAUCGCUAGUAAUCGUGGAUCAGAAUGCCACGGUGAAUACGUUCUUAGGUCUU